UACAGAGGGUGCAAGCGUUGUUCGGAAUUACUGGGCGUAAAGCGCGUGUAGGCGGCGUGCCAAGUCUUGUGUGAAAGCCCUGGGCUCAACCCAGGAAGUGCGCAAGAUACUGGUGUGCUGGAGUGUUGGAGAGGAUGGCGGAAUUCCCGGUGUAGAGGUGAAAUUCGUAGAUAUCGGGAGGAACACCUGUGGCGAAGGCGGCCAUCUGGACAAUCACUGACGCUGAGACGCGAAAGCAUGGGGAGCAAACAGG
rnacentral:rRNA from 1 species